AGGGCGGGAGGGAGAGACGAGAGAUCAAUCAGCUAACACCUGGGGGCUGAAACUGACCCAAGCCUGCUCACAUCCCUGAGUGUGUGCUAAAACUUGGAAUUAGCUGCGAGGUACCCACCAUUGCCUAGAGAGAACAGUGGAGCAACCGACCGGGAGACCACCAGGUGUCGCUGGGAGAUCUGAGCAUGCAGAAAAUAAUUAAGCUGUUUGAACACAAGGAAGAAAUAGAACUGUUCGUGGUUCUUAGAAAUAAAUGCCUUCUUGGGAAAUUGAUUACUUUCAGUGCAAGUACGGUCCUACUACUAGGAAGUGACUCUCUGGUUUCUCCACUGACUGAGGCGGGUAUUCCCCCGAGCUCUCUCCUGUGGGGGGUUGGAACUUAGUGACCCCCAGCCCUGUGAACGCUCCGGCGGCGACAGCGCCAUACCCGUGGUUCUUCAGCACUGCACUCCGCACAUGCGCAGCUAGGUAGGCGCGCCGCCAAGACUUCAAGGUAAGCCCCACACGGAUUUCUGGACAUCUUGGCCUAGUAGCUCUUCCCUCUCCUCUCCCACGUUCCGCCCAAGAAGUUCCAGCUGCCUCUGCCUCCCUAAAUUUCAAUCGCAGUCCUUUCUGCAGCGAGCCCUCCCUUUCCUGCCUGAGUUCUGCAAAGUGCUUCCAGAUCUGUCUCCCAGGGCCCCCAAUCCCUGGAGGCCCGUCGUCUAAAAUCUGAAAACAGAUGUUCCUAGAUUUUGUUCAGUCUUCCAGUUGCUUAAGGCGGGAGAGCAGCUCUGGGACCCGCGACCCCACAUGGCCAGAGUCGGAAGUCAGACAGAUUUCUGAAGUGACAGCUUUCGCCUCCUCGGAGCGGUUGCUCGCCUUUGGGGUUGGAGACGCGGGCAUGAGAUGCUGAGCAUGAUUUGAGGUCGAGCCAAACCCAGCCUCUGCCAUCAUGAAGCUCAAAGGGGUGGAGGAGAUGAGGUGAGUGUAAAAACAAGUCAUGCACUAGACUCCCCAGGGCCCCUUGUUUCCCCAAGGGCAUCAGCUUCCAGGAUAACCUGACAUCUAGAGGCACAGGGUCUCUGCCAUCCUCCUCUGACAAGCCUCAGAACUGACCUGGCUGGUGGGCUCCACAGGACUGACACCAAACAGGGAGCUCUUUACCCAAGGCGAGGAGGUCCCCCAACAGCCAGGGCAGAGAGCAAAGACGCUGAAGGGAACAUGCACACGGGGGGGACUCAAAUGUUCACCUCUCUGUACACGCCCACAAGUGACCACAGAAGUGCCACAGUAUUGAUUUUGAGGCGACGAAUACAUUUUAGCGAGUAGGCAAAUUCACAGAUCCAGAAUCUGCAAACACAGAACCCAUGAGUCAUGAGAAUGGAUUGUAAGAGUUGAUCCUAUGGCUCUCCUGUCUGAGCCGUCAGGGAACUGGGCUAGUCCACACUUCCCUGCCCCACGCGCCCCGACCCCUGCACUGCAGUCAGGAGACCAAUUAUUUAUAUGGCAUCUGAGCUUAUGCGCUGGCCUCCUGUGCUUCUUGGGGAUGGAAACUGUGUUCCUAUCAUAUAACACAGUGGCUGGCCUACAGAUGUUUAAUAAACAGUAAAUUUUUAAAAAAUAAAUGAAUGAGCCAGUAAAGGGAAAACAGUAAGUGAGUAUGGAUCUCAGGGUAUCCAGGAAAGAUGACAAUUAAGCCAUUACUUUAAAGUUACUUUCAAUUUAUCGUUAAGAAAUUUGUGUGGAGUGAGUGCAUCAAUCUAUUUACACUUGGGUGCCAAACUUCCCACCAGAAGAAUAAAAGAGGGAGUGACCUACUCGUGGGCCCACACCACUCAGCCCUCCAGUUUGGUGAACUUGUGGAGCUGAACAGGGCACCUUUCACUUUCACUGGAUGCCUGCCGGGAACACUGAUGACUUUGUCUGAAUCAGUUCUGUCUGAUGCUCCCGGUUCUAUUUCCCUUCGCAUUCCCCUCGCUCUUUGUGUGGAUUCCAGCAAAUGUGUGUGCCGAGAGCUUUCAGGCUUCCUCCCCUUUCUUCCCAGCGCAUUGUAACCUCAUUAGUUGACAUUCAUUUAGACGGUGAGCAGUGCCAAGUGGGGGGGAGUCCAUGAUCCUAGUUUCAGUGGCGGUGUUAUCUGAACAGGAUUUGCGAAGGGCGUCCCCAAGCAGAGGUUUCUUGGAAAUGCUGGCGGCUAUUAGAGGGCUCCUGAAUGGCUUGUUUCAACUCGAGUCUGGUCAACGGAGCGGCUUUUAUUGUGUGUGACAGUCCCAGUGGCCACGAUAGUCAUACUCUCAACUCUCAUUUAUUCAGGAUGAAAAAGAGAGCGUGCAGAGGCAGGCUGUGAGGAUAAUUCUCAGAUCUCUCUAUUUACAACCCGUCAUCAAGUCCUGUGGGUUUUUUUUUUAAUGUCUCUUACACACCUCCUCUCCAUCCUCACAGCCACACCCUUGGUCUGGGGCCAGCUUCGUCUCCUGCAUGGGCGAAAACUCGGCUUUGUAAUCGUUGUUGCCUUUUUCCAGUGUGCCAGCUCCUCCCCUCCCCCACUCCACCCAUUCGGGAGCUCGGCCACGUCAGUGCUCUAAAACACAGAUUCCCCUCUCUCCCUUUCUCUGCCACUGGCGUGUGCUCUUGACUCUGUCCUCGCCAUGUUGUCUCACGAGACUUUGAGGAUCAUGCAAUUCCUGGCCGAGAAAUGAAAGCAGAAUCAUCCCAUCCAAUGGAGCCGCAUAAAAACUGUGCAUCUCAGUUUGCACCAGCCACAUGUCAAGUGCUUGGUAGGCCUGUGGGGCUAGUGGCUAUCACACUGGACAGCUGACUUUAAAGCACUCUUAGUCCUUGAAAUCCCACACAGUUGAGUGACGGUACAAAUGGACACAAGGAAUGUGAGUCGACAAACUGUUGCCGCACUGGAGGGGGGUCUCUGGCACAAGUUCCUGCCCUUGACCCUGUGCUGUUCAUCAUCAUCCACCCAUGGCGUGGGUCCCGCUGUGGUUAGGAGCACCACUCUGCAAGGGAUCGCCUGUCAUUCUCUCGUGCAACUCCCCUGAAGAGGGUUAAAACUAAACUUGGACUACCAAAGUUCAAUAUCAUUCAGAAGUGUGCUGUGUGAGCUCCCAACUUCAACUUGAUUUGAAGCUUCAGAAACAAGGAGGAGGAAAGCAGUAAGGUGGAGGGAACAGGCCAAGGCCACGGAGAACCUGCCACAGACAUCUGGAAUCCUUCGCUACCUUGUGAGCACUCCCUUUAAAGAAAAGGACUGAUGAGCUGCGUGGAGGAGAGAGAUGAGGCGCAGAGCGAUUCAAAACUGCAGCCUUGCCCUGGCUGGCAUAGCUCAGUGGAUUGAGCGCCAGCUGCGAGCCAAAGUGUCGCGGGUUCAAUUCCCAGUCAGGGUACAUGCCUGGGUUGCAGGCCAUGACCCCCA